GGCCAGUUAGCUUAGUCGGUUGAGUGUGGUGCUGAUAACACCAAGGUUGCGGGUUUGAUCCCCGUUCGGUCCC
rnacentral:tRNA from 1 species